CAAUAGCGUAUACUAACGUUGUUGCAGUUAAAAAGCUCGUAGUUGGAUUUCUGAAGGUGGUUGGAUUGGUGUGACCUCGCGUUGCCUCAACCAUACUAUUUUCAACAUAUGCGAUGAAUUGGUGUGGUUAAUUAAGUUUGAUCCGCCAUUAAAUCGCUCGUUUACUUUGAGAAAAUUAGAGUGUUCAAAGCAGGCAUCUUGCCUUGAAUAUGUUAGCAUGGAAUAAUAGCAUAGGACUUUGGUUCUAUUUGUUGGUUGUUCGAGAACCGGAGUAAUGAUUGAUAGGGACGGUUGGGGGCAUCCGUAUUCUCAAGCGAGAGGUGAAAUUCUUGGACCUUGGGAAGACGAACAGCUGCGAGAGCGUUUGCCUAGGACGUUCUCUUUAA
rnacentral:rRNA from 1 species